UCUAUGGCGCGUGCGUGUUUUGUUUAAUUGAUUAGCUGAAGCUGAUUAACGUCAUGAAAAAAAUCUUUCAGUGCACAUUUUAUGGAAAAAACACAGACAGAAACCGAAGUUUAGCCUCAGUAACUUGUUUAUUUACGUUUAUCUGUCGGUAUUCUACUAAAUAUCGUCGAAUAUAGAUGCUUUUCUAAAAUGUGAAAAUUGAAAGUUUUAGCUAACGCCACCUGGUGUACAUUAAGGCUUGAGUAACGGUCCGGAAGUCCUCAGGUGUGUCCAGGUGUUCAGAUGAGUUGAGAUCUGAUGACCGUGAAGGCCAUUCAUCAGUGAACCCUCGUGCCCUGGGGCUGGGGGCAGAGUCUUCCUGAAGAGACCACGCCCAUCAAGAUAGAAAUAAUUCAUCGUAGAAUAAAGUGAAGUAGAGGCAGUGCUUCUGCGGGCAGUGUGUUGGUCUCCAGUUCUUCAGAGACGAGGUUGAACUCCUCUGCACAGCUGACAGAUUCAGGAAUUGGCUGAGGAGCUGCACUUGUCUGCCGCACAACAACUCUGUCCUCCGAUGAAUCACGGCUCGCCAUAAACCGACGCCUAUGGAAUGAAGGUUUCAUAUCAGAGAUCUGGGGCCAUAAAUGUCCUCUCCUGCCCCUGUUCUAGUGUAAUCACAUGCUGUUGCACAGGCCAUGUCCACAGAGCCGGCCCUAAGUGCCUCAAACAGUCUAAAAAACCAUCAGGACCGACUUGAAAAAGGAAACCGCCUCUCCACGCAGGGCACUCUGCGAAGGACACGUCGCAUACAAUCACCUGUGAAGCUGCAGAGAUGAGAGAAGAUAUUUGUGCACUUUUGCAUUCUCAUGAAUCUGUUUACGCGCACGGCACGUUGCGGCAUACUGUAAACAACAAUGAAGAAACGGCACGGGGUGACAGAAAGAUCUAGAGCAAUUCAUUUCAGAGGAAAACAUCCGUCUGUGGCGCAGGAGGCAGCCAUUGCUCUUGCUUUUUAAUAUUACUUUUCUCAUCUCGGAGUAGACGUGAGUGAUUUCGACCCAGGCUGUGCGGUGAUGACUUGCACAAGGAAAGACGAGCAUCAAAACCCGUUGGUGUCAGACUAAUCCGUUUGAAAGUUGCCUCUGAUUGUUUCUGAAUUCUUAAAUUUGUAAUUUAUUCUCAUGAAAUGUUGUUAGGCAGAGGUCUGGUGUGGGGGCUAAAGCCUGACCUUGGGAGGUGUGUGCGUGUGUGUGUGUGUGUGUGUUUCAAAUCAGCGGCACCUCGUGGGAGCUGAAGUGACUGACUGCUCCUGGCUGCAGACUUGCACACACACCAUCAUUAAUGCGUAUUAUGAUUCCUCCAGUGUCAGUAGAGGAGACAAACAGUCACAGUGUGAAUCUUCCCCUCAUCCUCGUACUCUCUUUCUUCCUCUCUCUCUCUCUCUCUCUCUCUCUCUCUCUCUCUCUGUCUCUCUCUGUCUCCCUCUAGCCUGCCGAGCCAGCAAAAAUGCAACAGAGAAUUAUUCAGGAUUCAGAAUUUUUUCUGUCAUCUCUGCCAUCUACUGAUAACAAAGCCACAAGCUAAUACGGUUUGAUUUGUUUGUCACUCAUUUUUCAUGUGACCUUUCCCUGGUAUCAUUAAUACAGCUGGGGGGAGGAGUGGAGUGAGAUGGCGAGAUGAGAGGAGAGAGCUGCCAGAGGCUUUAACAAGUACUAGUGGUCAGAUAUAGCAAUUUAUGCUUUCAUUCAAUCCGGCAGCGGCUGGAGGAGAGGGAUUGUUAUUAAAAUCUGAAAUUACUGCCUAUGACCUGCCACCUGGAAUUUGCAGCUGGCCGCUCUGAGAUGAGCACCGUGUGGUUAAGCAAAUCCCUGCCCAAAUUAUGGUGUGAAUAAAAUGCCACACUGGUGUCCUAAUCUUCUCCAUAGGCGUGUUCCUGCCUAAGAGACUCUUUAGUGCACUAUUUAAUGCACUAGACACUAAAGAAAUUAAAUCUAAAUGUGAGUGAUAACCUAAAUGAUCUGAUUAUGUAAAAUAGAUUUUGAAAAAUCAGAUUUUCUUUUUUAAUAUAAAGGUUGUGUGCAGUAUCAUAUUAUUUUUACGUAAAGUUAUGUGUUAUAUUUUAGGAGAUAUAUUAUGAGCUGUAUUGAAGCAGUAAUUAAAUUGUUAUUUAUAUUAUUUAUAGUAUGAUCAAACAGCGUAAGCUCACUUGUACUAUAAAAAUAUAUUAUUUGUAUUCACUUAAAAAUGAAACAAAUACAUUCCUUACGUGUUAGAGCUAAUCUAUAAUUUUGUUUAUUAUGCAUUGGAAUAAUUCUGACUGUUGCAGCUAAAAUAUUAUUGAAUUUUAUUUUAUACUUUUAUAUUUUUAUUAUUGAAUUAUUAAUUAUUAUUAUUACUACUAAAUAUGAUUAUUUAUUGUAAGCAAUUUUAAAACCUUUUUGUGUUCCUUUAUAGAGAUUUUGAUCAGUGAUAGUCAUAUUUUGAGAUUCUCUCCUGAUUUAUAAUUUGCAGCAAUAUUUAAGUAUUAGCCUGUAAUAACCUGAAAGACACAAAUGCACUUAACUGAAUUUAUUUUCCAGCCUCACGUUGUUUGUUUUCUUCCCUCAAUUAACGGCUGUCCCUCCUUCUCUCAUUAACAUGAUUAUGAGGGACAGAGGCGAGGCCUGUUGGAGACAUUUGAGUUUCCAUGUAAACAUAUCAAUCUUAUGCGCGGAAAGCCCGGGCCUCCUCGCGCUGCUCCUCCCGUGGCGAAAAUGGCCUGCUACUACCCAUCAGCCCGGCGGUUGCCAUGGUGACCAGGGUCAAGAAACCUGCCUCCCUCUACCCUCCCCUUCGCUCACCCAAGGCUUGCUCAUGUCACUUGUGAAACUAUGAAUUUUAUAUACAGGUCAGGAGAUGCAUAUCAGAGAAAUAAGCGGUGAAUCGGACCAUGAUGACAGCCCAGUGCUCAGAUGUCCUUGAAAUUCACAUUUCAAUCCUCUCUCUCUCUCUCUCUCUCUCUCUCUCUCUCUCUCACCCAAAAAUGACUCUUGGAUCCUCUUGUUGCUUUUAGGCACAAUUAGUAUUUUCUGAAUGCGUCUGCAAGAUGGACAGAGAGAAAGGGGGAAAAAGACAGAGAGACAUGGGGAAUGAUUUUACAUUUUUAAGUCAAGUUUUUAUUUUCUUUAAAGAGGUAAUAUAAUGGUUUGCAGCAUUAUUACAAGGAGAUUUUACUAAGCACUUCAGGAUUUCGGUUAUUUUAAGUGCGUUGUGCCAACAGAUUUUUUUUAUUCUUUUAUUUUCAUAAUAAAAGAAGGCAUUGUAUGGGUUAUAAAGCUUUGACAUGUAAAACCUUUUAUAUGGAUCAAAUCUUUUUAGUUUCUUUAACUAAUGGUCUUUUCUUUUAAAACCACUCAAAAACCCAAACCUUUCAAAGCCUGUACUGAUAAUAUCUGAAUUAGACAACCUGCUGUAUUUUACAUAUGUUCUUGUGAUAACUAUAACUAUAUGUGUCUUAAAAUAUUUAUUCUACAUCUCAUAAAUUUUUAAAUCGAUUUCUGUAUGUGUCACCAGACAAACUGUGAUCGUUGAUGCCAUAAAUAUUUGGCGUAAUGUCAUAUUAAAUUAGCUUAAAAUGCUAACAAAGUGUUAUCUGUAAUUAAAAAUGUAGACAGAAUUAUUGCCAUUAUUCAUUUAUGCAAAGAUUUGUGGUGUUGUGUGUGAAUUAUGUUAUAUAUUAUAUAUUCGAUAUUAUAUAUGUUAUAUCGAAGACCAUUUAAUUGCUGUUAAAUCAGAAUUCAAAUAGCAUAUUGAUCUCACCUCGGACUUGACCUUUUUAUAAAUUUUUCACCUGAUGAGUAGAAAGGUCUGCUAAUCAGAAAUGUUUUAUCUAAUGGCAUACAAGGAUUGUCAGUCAUUCUCCCUAGAAUGGGGUUUUUAUGACAGGCUCCCUAUCAUCCCUCCUCUUCGACGUUGCCCUUUUCUGACCUUUUGCGGUGCCCAAACGUGUCUGGGUUAUAUAUCUUCUGUCCCGAGUGCAGCCUGGCCUAUUAGCUAGUCUCUAAACCUCCAGUGGAGAGGAUCAAGCCUAGGCGUUUCUACACUUCAUUCAUUUUGUUGCUCCCCAGCGAUCGGUGGCCCUUGCCUCCAAAUCCCUCCUUUAUAGUGCACUGAAGUGACAAAGGCAGCCUUGUCUUUCAUUUCCUUGAUGUUCUUCGUACAGCUCGGUGGCUUUUGUGUCGUAUUGAUGCAAACAUUACCAUAAACUGCCACCCAGGGACCAGAAACAAUUGACUAACUGUUCCCAAAUCCAAUACACUUCAGCUGGUCAUAUGCUAAGUGUAAGUUUAGUUAGGUUGAGUGCUAAAAGCACUGUUUCCUGUCCAGCCUGGACCAGCGCUCAGAGAAGGACGCCCGUGCAGGGACGCCUGUACGCACUGACAAAAGGGAAUCAAAUUUGUCGCACAGAAUCCCUGUCUUCAUUUCUGAUGACUCAAAUCCCCCCCCUCUUUCCAAUUCCUCUCUCUCCCCUCUUCAUUUCUCUCUCUUUCUGUUUCGGUGGCUCUCACCUUCUGUUCAGGUUCAACAAUAGUGGGAUUACACUUUAAAGAAGCUGCGCUUCAGCUGAGAAAGAGGGAUUUGGCUGGGAUGAGUGUUUAAAAUGAACCGCCUUUGAAACCAUGGACAUUAAUUACCGCCCUGGCACAGAGUGACAAAUACUUCACUCAUUACCAAUGGAAAUCGUGGGAGGAAGGAAGGAGGGCGGGGAUUGUGGGGGAAUUUCAAAAAGUUUCUUGUGUUGUAAAUGUGAAAUGGUGCCCGACCUUUUUUUUUUCUCUCUGCUGCUUAAUGGGAGGGUCAUUUGCCUCUCGGAACUUUGGUGGGGAUCCCGGAGUCAAGCUUUAUAGAGAGGGGCUUUAUUCAGUUUCCGAUACAUGGAACAAAAAAAAAAAAAAAAAAAGCGUCAGCUGCAUGUUUGAUGUGCGCCUCGUAAGAGUAGAAAUUGAGGAAUUGUGAUGAGCAUGCAGUAAUGGAGGUGAAACUACCUGCCAUUACAUGCUUCAUUUCUUUAAACAUGCUAAUCCCUCAGAAGCUAUACAUUUACGCUGCCAUUUGUAGCACACAUCAAUAUUUAUAACUACGCUAAUGCAUGCAGGUUCAGGCAAGAAUACUGGACAUACAUGCGUUCUUAUCACCUACGUUCUUAGGCUGUAGUCAUUCUUCUUUCAUUUUCUGAUAUGAGUCUUACGUCCUGUAUUACGUACUGUGGAAAUUACACAUAAUAUAUCGGAGAUUGCAAGUGAAAUCAUGUAAGAGCUACUUUGUUACAUUCACCAUGCGUAGUAUGAUGAUGGAUAUGUGGAUUUUUUUUUCAAUGUGAGUGAAUUCGUUCUGUAUGAACUGUUUAUGAGAAACAUAAACACAACAAUAUGUUUGAAAUCUCCAUUUACAUCUCAAGGAGAAGCUUGUCCCAGUUAAUGUGCUAGCUUUCAAUGUUUUUUGCUUCUUCUUUUGCUUAAGAAACCAUGAUUUAUAUCCUCCAUCAAAAUAUUAGUUGGACCCCAAUGUUUAAAAUCUGUAAUAUAUUUUAUUUUCUCAUGGAAACCUUUUGGAUACCUUUUACCGUAUCGCAUCAUUUACAGCAAUUGUUUUUGUCUAGUUAACAUAUCACUGAAUAAACUACCGUCUUUAUUUCAUCAGAUAAAUGUUUUGUUUACAUUUUUUUGUACAAAUAUCCUCAAUACUUUUUAUAACUUAUAUAACUGCAAAAAUAGCUUUUGGUUGUUAAAUUGUGUUUUUUCCCCCAAAUGCUUUAUUCUCACCUCUUUUUUUCCCAAGGCAAAUAUUUUUGUAGAUAUUAAAUCAUAUAUUUUGUGGCACUCCUAUUCUUCUCCCAUCCAGAUACUGUGAUACCUAUUGCAUAUUGUGAAAAUGUUUUAGUAUCAUGGAAUGAUAUAUUUGCAUAAUCACCCACCCCUGAGCUGCACUCCAGUCACUCGACCUCCCACGAUUAUUAACACCUGUCACACCUGUGUUUGCAUUACUGCUGUGUGUUUGUAUGUGUGUGUGUGCAUACUUCCUGUUUCCUACCAAGCCUUGAUGCAUGUUUACAUAUAUUUAUGAGAUAUUUUCUACUUCCUCAUGUGCGUUUGUAUCCAUCUCUGUGUCUUGCGUGCUAAUCCACUGUAACAGAAAUGUCAAAGUCUGAUACAUUAAUGCAUUCAUACGAGCAGAAAGCAGACGUGAGAUUAGGAUGGAGAUUGAAUGAAAUAGUAGUCAUGAGGAGAACGUUUUUCACAAACAUGCUUAAAGCCAGAUAUUUUCUCAGGAUUAAUUAUUAGCACACCACAGUUUGUCUUUUUUCCCCUUCCUGUGUAAUAUUUUAUAUUUUAAUAUUUCAAUAAACACACAUUGUAGUUUUGGUAACAUAAAUGAAGGCAUUAGAGGCUGUGCAUACAGAGUGAUUGUCACACAGUGCGUACUAUCAAUGGUCUGCUGUUGACUCCUUUAAUCUGGACCGAUGCUUUUAAAUGACAUUACAGAAUAAGCCACAAUUCUGUGGAGCACAAUGGCCUCAUUUAUCGCACUUAAUGUGCAGAUUCUUGUAAAGAGACAAUGGUCAACAUUCGUAAUGAUCAUAUCCCUCCCUCUUUCUCUCUCUCUCUCUCUCUCUCUGCUUUUUUCUCUCUACCAUUCUCUCUCUCUCUCUCUCUCUCUCUAUUCUUCCCUCUGAGAUUGAGCUCAGCAAGCCAUGUCGGGUAACUGAAUGCAACAGACCAAUAGGAGGCAUAGGUAGACCGUGGAAAUUAGAACUGCUGGAAAUUUAACAAGACGACGACCUUCUGGUUCUCACAGAACAGCAAAGACAACACAAUUCAAAUGGGAAUGUUUUUUAAACAUAGCUGUGUUACAAUUCAACUAAUAACCAUCUGCAUAACUAAGGAAGUUGUAAUAAUUUUAAUUACAGUAAUUAGAGUGCCAAAUUUACACCAUGAUUUUCUUAGUGUCAGUGUUAUUAUUACCACUGCCCUAAUACCACUACGUUUUUGAAUAUCUAAUACAGUGAAUUAUAUAAAUAAUUAAUCUGUAAAGGGUUUUUGAUGUAUUAAAUCAUAGGUAACAGCUAUUACUAAUAACAUUACACAUCUGAUGCCUGACCCUUCACAAUUUCAUAUACACGGUAUACAAUAACACAAAAGUCUUCAGGUAGAAAACCGCAUAGAAGUCAUAAUUCAGUGCCUUAUGUGAUAUAUUUUCAUAUUAAAGAACCGGAGCAGAGAGGUCACACUACACACACAUGUACAUAUGACUCACUCCCAUUUACAUUCCUGCAUGUUGUGACUAAGCGUAAGCCGAGAUGCGCCGGGGCCCGAGUGUUGUGGAACAAAGAGAAGUGUGUGUAAGAGAAGUGCGAAGACAUGGUUAAUUAUGCCAGCUGCCAUGGCGGCUAGCACUGGCCUUUAAUUUAUGAUGGCAGGGGAAGAAGGGAAUGCAUUCUGGAGGACGGUGACGACGAGGCCAGAGACAAGGGCUGAGAGAAAUGAAGUCAGGAGGCUCAGGAGGAGUCAAGGACCUUUGAAAUGAUAGAGUGGGAUUAUCAAUAAAAUCAGCUGCCUCGAAAACCGGGAGCCAGUCUACUCUUGAAAUAAUGCUAGCACCUGAGGCAGUAGGAAAAAAUAAAUCUAAUAUGUAUGUAUAUACUUAUGUAUGUAUGCAUUUUUUUUUUUUUUUUGCUGUCACACUGAUUAAAUUAGAAAUG